rnacentral:rRNA from 1 species
GUAUCGGCUAACUCCGUGCCAGCAGCCGCGGUAAUACGGAGGAUACGAGCGUUAUCCGGAUUUAUUGGGUUUAAAGGGUGCGUAGGUGGCGAAUUAAGUCAGUGGUGAAAAGCUACAGCUCAACUGUAGUCGUGCCGUUGAAACUGGUUUGCUUGAGAGAAGACGAGGUAUGCGGAAUGUGUAGUGUAGCGGUGAAAUGCAUAGAUAUUACACAGAACGCCGAUUGCGAAGGCAGCGUACCAGGCUUUAUCUGACACUGAGGCACGAAAGCGUGGGUAUCAAACAGGAUUAGAUACCCUGGUAGUCCACGCUGUAAACGAUGAAUACUAGAUUUUUGCGAUAUACAGUAAGAGUCUAAGCGAAAGCGAUAAGUAUUCCACCUGGGGAGUACGCCGGCA